GGUUGUGGCUCAGAGGCAGAGCACUCGACUACCAUGCGUGAGGCAUUGGGUUCAAUCCUCAAAACCA
rnacentral:tRNA from 1 species